CAGUCGAACGGAUAUCUUCGGAUAUGAGUGGCGAACGGGUGAGUAACACGUACGGAACCUGCCUGCAUGAGCGGGAGAACUUCUGGAAACGGAAGCUGAUACCGGAUGAGCAAAGAGGAGGCAUCUUCUUUUUGGAAAAGGGGACAAGAGUCCCGCAUGCGGAUGGACCUGCGGUGCAUUAGCUGGUUGGAGAGGUAACGGCUCACCAAGGCGACGAUGCAUAGCCGGCCUGAGAGGGCGGACGGCCACACUGGGACUGAGACACGGCCCAGACUCCUGCGGGAGGCAGCAGUAGGGAAUUUUCGUCAAUGGGGGGAACCCUGAACGAGCAAUGCCGCGUGAGCGAGGAAGGUCUUCGGAUCGUAAAGCUCUGUUGCCGGGGACAAAAGGCAGAAAGAGUGGAAAGCUUUCUGAGUGAUGGUACCCGGCGAGGAAGUCACGGCUAACUACGUGCCAGCAGCCGCGGUAAUACGUAGGUGGCGAGCGUUAUCCGGAAUGAUUGGGCGUAAAGGGUGCGCAGGCGGCCGGGCAAGUCCGCAGUAAAAACUGGAGGCUCAACCUUCAGGGGCUGCGGAAACUGUCCGGCUGGAGAGCAGGAGAGGACGGUGGAACUCCAUGUGUAGCGGUAAAAUGCGUAGAUAUAUGGAAGAACACCGGUGGCGAAGGCGGCCGUCUGGCCUGCAUCUGACGCUGAGGCACGAAAGCGUGGGGAGCAAAUAGGAUUAGAUACCCUAGUAGUCCACGCUUGUAAACGAUGA
rnacentral:rRNA from 1 species